rfam:Brachypodium distachyon strain Bd21 chromosome 1, whole genome shotgun sequence.
UUUUUACUCCCUCCGUCCAACAAAAAAUGUCUCAAGUUUGUCAAAAUUUAAAUGUAUUAGACAUGACUUAGUGUAUAGAUGCAUUCAAAUUUAAUCAAAUUUGAGACAUCCUUGGACGGAGGGAAUACAAA